rnacentral:tRNA from 1 species
AACCUAUUAGCUCAAAUGGUAGAGCACUACGCAAAUGCAUAGGGGAUGUAGGUUCGAUUCCUACAUAGGUUG